rnacentral:rRNA from 1 species
UACGGAGGGUGCAAGCGUUAUCCGGAUUUACUGGGUUUAAAGGGUGCGUAGGUGGGCGAGAAAGUCAGUGGUGAAAUCUCCGGGCUUAACCCGGAAACUGCCAUUGAUACUAUUGUCUGAAUACUUUGGAGGUAAGCGGAAUAUGUCAUGUAGCGGUGAAAUGCUUAGAUAUGACAUAGAACACCAAUUGCGAAGGCAGCUUACUACACAGUUAUUGACGCUGAGGCACGAAAGCGUGGGGAUCAAACAGG